rnacentral:lncRNA from 1 species
CUAAAAUUCUGAUUGACCAUGUCCUCUGUCCUGUCUGAUGCCACUGUUUCUAGGGGCUCACACUUCUCAUACAAAGUAAGGCACCUUCUUCCCUAACCCCUAGUGUGGCAUUUGCACCAUGUGAAAUGCUCAGGACUAUGUAAUAGAUGAAGCCCCACUGCUUUUGAUUAAUUUAAAGUCACAAAAGUUUUUUUUUUUUUUUUAAUAGGAAAAUCAAUUUUCAAAUACUCAGAUCCUUGAAUAAGAAGAGUGUUGGGAAGUAAUGAAAAAUAUCAAGGGUAAAGGGCAGCAACGCCAGCACCUUCUCCCAAAGCACAGCAAGUCUCCUCUUUGGCAGGCGGUUGAUCUGCCUGCUCUACCUUGGACACUGCGCUGCGUCCACGCAGGGGGCUAAGCCCCACGGGAACCGAGCGUUUCAUCAGGGUCACGCACCAUGGUUAGGAGACUUUCUUUCUUUCUUUUUUUUCUUUUUAUUGCAUACCUUAUUUUCAUCUGCAUCCAGUUAGCAAUAUGGUUGAGAAGCAAGUGGAGAAUUAACAUCCACUGGAAUUAAAACACUCAGCUCGCCCAUUUCUACAGCAUUUACCAGGAGCCUCUUCUGCUUGGAACCUGGCUAGGUGUUGGCCUGGACCCGUGGAAGGCAUGCCCCCUGCUCCUCAGAGGCACCAAGUUCAGCA